GGAAAAUUAGGGAUGGUUGGAAUGUUUUUGGAAGCAGCUACUUUUGAGUUUUGACUUUUGAACACUUGAAUCAUAAAUUAUGAGCUAAAAAGUUGAAAAUCUAUAUGACUUGUUAUCUGUUAUGUUAUGACAAACGCACAAACGGAAACGAAAUUAGCGAGCACAAGAUAGACAAAUCACAAACAGAAAAUAAAGAAAAAUACAGAUUUACGUACAAAAUUCUUUACAGGAAAAAAUUACGGCGGAGAAAGGAGAGCUUCAUUAUCGAACGAAAAAGGGAAUACAAGGUUUUAGAGUACAAUCAAUCUAUCGCUCUAGGGUAAAAGGAGGAAACAAAUUCUUAAAGGGUUUCGAAUCUACACUGCGGGGGGCGGACACAGAUAACCCGAUAUUACGAGAUGAUAUGAGACUCAUCUCACACGUCAGGCUGGUAAACUGGCUCUGGUACCGAACGUAACGACCCGACCGGCUAACAAUAAUAACUCGUUGGGCUCAAAUCACCGACCCAAUAUGUUUAAGUUUAGUUAUUACAAUUGAUACUCAUGGUCUCUUAUAUUCCCAAUUAUAAUUCUAUUCUCAUUGGAAUGAAACUAUUGGGGUGUGACACCUGAUUAAACCUAUAAAAAUAAAAUGUAUUCAAAUUUUAAAAUCAAAUAUCGUCGACUGAUUCAAAUCAAACGAAUUGAAAAAUUAAGCAAUAGAAUUAAAAUUUUGAAAGGUUGGACAGCCAACACAAAAUGAUCUAUAGUACAAAUAAGUUCUAUACAUUUUUAC
rnacentral:lncRNA from 1 species